GUUCCUCAACUGAAAGAUAUUGAGUAGAUACGCGAGAUAAGUUGCGGUUGACGUGGACGGCUGAGAUGGAGCGUCUCUUCAGCUCACCGCGUCUGACGAUCCAGAUCAGGCGCUGGGAAGAGAUCUCUACAAUCUCGAAAAGCGUGGUGAUGAUGGCUACUUUAAAUAA
rnacentral:sRNA from 1 species